GACUCUAUAUUCGAAAUGGCGCGAGAUUAGGUUCAUGUUCGAUGCAGCAUGAGGCUGGUUAAGCCGAGUCACAAUCGGAACUCGUGGGUGCUAUGACUGUACGCUCUAAUAAGUGAAUUGAUUGCGUAUUUCCAACCGCUCAAGAUUUUUAGGAUUAAUGGUUAGCGCCAACGGUCAGACAUCGGUGAUUAUAUAUUGUGAUGCAGGAUAUGAGCUCUUGCCAUUUACAUGUUGACAUAUGUAUGCUAGAAAUGCUUAAAUGCAGGCAAACCUCUCCGUGAUGUCGUAGGAAGCGCUUAUUACGUUGCCCCGGAGGUGUUGAAGAAAAACUACGGGAAGGAGAUCGAUGUGUGGAGCGCCGGAGUUAUACUAUACAUUCUUCUUUGUGGCGUGCCUCCUUUCUGGGCCGGUAUGAGUAGAGCCAUAUAUUUCCUUUCGUACCGCUAAUCCGCUGAAAUGAAUAGGGAUUGAAAGCAUUUUGAGCUGAUUCAUCACUGCGUGGCUGAUCUAACACACUGAAAUUUCAAUUAAAAUGCAGAGACGGAGAAAGGUAUUUUUGAUGCCAUAUUACAAGGGAAUGUCGACUUAAGCAGUUCGCCGUGGCCUUCAAUAUCUGCUAGUGCAAAGGACCUGAUCAGAAAGAUGUUGACGCGCGACCCAAAGAAGCGGAUCACAGCUGCUCAAGCUCUUGGUUAGUAGAUUGUCUCUGUUAGACAUAGAAAAGAUUUUGGGCCUUUCACAUACAUAUACCUCCGAAACCGUUAUUCAGAACUUUCAUAUAUGGCCCUCGAAAAUGUGUUUUCUUACAAGAAUACCUUGAAAACUUAAAAAGUUUGGUUCUCUGUUUAAUUUUGUAUGAUAAGUAGUUUCUUAGGAAGGGUCAAAUUUGUAGAGGAUAUGAUGAAGUGUAAAUAUCUCAGACCUGUUGUAGACUUGAAUCCCUUCUUCUAGUUAAGCUAGAUAUUUCUGUUUCCUAUGUUGUAAUUAUUUAGCUCUCAAUAUGCUUGGAUGUCAUUGUUCUUUUUUAUUUUCUCUAUUCUUUUUAUCAUUAAAUUGAUUUGAAAGCAAUCAAUGAGCAGAGCACCCAUGGCUCAGAGAAGAUGGCGUGGCAUCCGACAAACCUAUUGAUAGUGCAGUCCUUUUGAGAAUGAAGCAGUUCAGGGCGAUGAACAAGCUAAAGAAACUUGCCCUUAAGGUCCUCUUUCUUAAUACUCCUUUCAUUGUUUCCUUGGUAACUCUUCUCCGGCUCCGGCUAAUGCAUAUUGUUUGAUGUUUUUCUAGGUCAUAGCGGAGAAUCUUUCAGAGGAGGAGAUCAAGGGCUUGAAGCAGAUGUUUAACAAUAUGGAUACUGAUCGGAGCGGUACAAUCACCCUUGAAGAAUUGAAAGUUGGAUUGUCGAGGUUAGGAUCGAAGGUUUCUGAAGCAGAAGUUAAGCAACUUAUGGAGGCAGUAAGUUUGAGGAAAAAUAAAUAAAUAAAUAAAUAAAUAUAAAAAGACUUUUGAGGUUUUCUGUGGUAAUUUAUGCGGUUAUAUUGAAGUAUUAUUUCGCAGGCUGAUGUAGACAAAAGCGGCACUAUCGACUACAUUGAAUUCAUCACUGCAAUGAUGCACCGGCAUAAACUGGAAAAGGAGGAGAACUUGCUGAAAGCAUUCCAAUAUUUUGAUAAGGAUGGAAGUGGGUAAGCAUAAACUUUGAGAAGAGCUAUUCUCCAAUGCUGACUUACAUCAUGCAUGGUAGCUUUUCCGAUUGUUUGAGAAACAAAUUACUUAACUUUGUCUUUCCUCCGCGAUCUUAUGAGAAACAAAACAAACUUUGCAACUCGCUUAUGGCCCUUUAUCCCCGAAACAAACAAGUAGAAAGGUAUUGAUCACUAUUGGUCGUCUUCUAUCAGGUAUAUCACAAGAGAAGAGCUGAGACAAGCAAUGACAGAAUACGGAAUGGGCGAUGAUGCUACUAUAAAUGAAGUACUCGACGAUGUAGAUACAGAUAAGGUGAGCAUAUUAUUCUUACAUGCUACUCGCAUAUCGUACAUGAUUCUAAUCUGAUUCUGAUUCUGUAAAUUUCCUUCUUCAAAACCGGCAGGAUGGGAGGAUUAAUUACGAAGAAUUCGUGGAAAUGAUGAGAGGAAACCGUGCAUAAAAGUAAUGUUUCUCUUGCUUGGUGGUUGUGUGUAUAUUGCUCCAUAUAAUCUGCUUAAAUGAAUAAACAAGAGCACAGUGCUCAGUGUGCAACAUUUCUUCGCCGAUAACGCAUGUUGUGUAUAACUUAUCUAUUAGAAUACUUGGAUUUGAGUUAGCAAUAUUAUUAAAAAAAAUUCAAAAAUAUCUCCUCAAAUUGCGAAAUGCCGUAAAUUUUGCAUAUUUUAAAUUUGUUUUGGGACUCCUUAUUUUUGUAGAUUGAGAAUUCAAUUCAUCAGCUUGCAUUUUGAAAUAGCCCAUAAAUUAGAACAUGGUGUAAAGUCCAAUCCGCUUAUGAUACGAAUAAUGGGUGAAUUGAGUGGGCCGUUUACGGCCGGGCCAUUUGCAUUUGUUCAAAGUUAUUAUUUGAUUUUUGAGCUAUUCUGUUUUUCCAUCGGUUUGAUUAUACUUUUGACUUUUCUAAAUUAAUUAGUUUUGGUUUUGGUUGGCGACUUGGCUUCAAUUAGUAGUCAUUUAAAAGCAAAAAAAUUUAAUGUAUUACAGAAAUUUGUCUCUACAUUAUUUUUAGUGUAGAGCUAUAUACGAUCGAGAAGUAUAAAUGACUUGGUGCUUCCGACUUUUUGACUUUUGGAUUAAAAAUUGAAUGGUUAGUGUGAUUGCGAUCCCUCCAGAGUUGAGUGGUCCCCUUAUAAUAGUAAUAUUAAUCCAAAGAUUAGAAAUAAUCAAAAAAGUUGAUCUAAAGGCUAAAAAGUCGAAAGUAGUAGGAUUCUCUAUAUUUCCGAUAGCAUAAUAGCUCUACUCUUAUUUUUAUAUAUUACUAGGGCUUGUUUGGUUCAUCCAUUUUGGAUAUGGAAUGGGAAUCGGUUUGAUCAAAUCCGAUUAAUUUUGUUUGGUUCGCAGAAAUCGGUUUAGGAUUCCUAUUCCGGACUGGAAUAGGAAUGACCCAUCAGCCUUCAACUUGAUUCUGGUUUUCUAGCCCGGAUUGAGAUUUCAUUUUCGAAGCCCACUAAGUUUUGAGGCCCAAGCAACCAUCUUACCCUCCACUCUUGUAUUAUACAUACGAUCUCUUCAUCCCUCUCUCAUAAAAAAAAAAAAAAAAAAAAAAAAAACCUAUCCUCUCUCAAAACUCUAUCCCUAACUCACAUCAAUAAAAGUUUUUAAAAAUAAAUUUGAUAUUUUUUUUGGAAAAAUUAUUAGAGAAUAGUAUUAUAUUUUUCAUAAAUUUUAAAUAAUAUAAAAUUAUAUUUAAGAGUAAAAUUAGUAUUAUGGUAUCCUAUAAUUUUUUAGUUUAUACGAACCAAAUAAUGGAAUGUGAAUAAUUCAUUCUAAUUUUCAAUCCACAAAUGAACCAAACAUCUUAGGGGAGUAAGCCAAUCCAAUUACCAUUUCAAUUCAUUCUCAUUUCAUUAUCUAUUCUAAUUCUACCAUUGAACCAAAUAAGCCCUUAAUAUGUCCGACAGACCGGAGAAAAUGUCCCACAUGGAUUUGCUAACAUUUUGAUAACUUUAUAAAACCCUGUUGCGGUGGAUCCAAAGCUUGUGUGGUUUUUUUUUCCCCCUUAAAUUUGAGUAGGACUAUACAGAAGAGAUUUCAUAGAUUUUUUUUAAAAGGAAAUUGAUAUACUAAGAAUAAUUUCUGAUAUUGUUAAAAGAGACAUAUUAUAUCUAGUCACAAUUCAAAUCUUUUUUGUUCUCUUUACUUUAAAUAUGUCAAAAAAAAUUUCUCUAACAUGAAAAAUUUUUCAAAUUUUUAUGAGUACGCCGACGCCCACCUGCUCCAAGUUACAUAUAAAGUAGAAACCUAACUUCAUGAGAUCAAGUGAUGGCGACCCCAUGAAUUUGCUUCCUCCUUGUGCUUCGAGCAACCACAAUAUUUUAUCCAUUCCUUUAUUUUUUAAAAAUUUUUGUUUGUUUGUUAGUUUUUAGAGGCAUUAAAUCUUUCAUCACUUGCAUAAUAACUUCAGGCAGAGAGAGCGACCAUUCCCAAACAUAUAUGGUCAGUAUUUGAAAUUUUAAGUUUGAAAUCUAAUUAUUUUAUAUCUUUAAUUAAUAUUAAAAUUUUAAAAUAAAUAAAAUAGAUAAAUAACAUACUAAUUUGGACUUUUUUCGAAAAUAACCCUAUAAAAUUUCGUAUUUAUCAAACUAACCCUGCGAAAUUUUUAUUUGUAAAACUAACCCUCCUUUCGCCACGUGGACACCACGUCAGGGAUUCCUCAAAAAAACGGUGAAUCGUUCACCGUCUUUGUAAUUUUUGUUGUAAAAGCGGUGAAUAGUUCUCACCGCCUUUAGUGCAAAAUUCUCCUUUCCGCCUUUUCCUCUUUCCGCCCUCUCAAGUCCGCCGUUUCUGUGCCCUCGAGAAGACGGGGAACGAUUCAUCGUCUUAUCAAGUAUACCAUAUUAUGGACUUGAAAAGAUUUGCACGGAUUAGGAAUUUGUACUAAAGACGAUGAACCAUUCACUGUCUUCACAACAAAUAUCAAAGACGGUGAACGAUUCACCGCCUUUUGAGGAAUCCCUGACGUGGCGCCCACGUGGCGAGAGGAGGGUUAGUUUCACAAAUAAAAAUUUCACAGGAUUAGUUUGGCAAAUAUGAAAUUUCACAGGGUUAUUUUCGAAAAAAGUCCUACUAAUUUUCUCAAAAAAAUAAAAACAAGUUAUUCAUUUUAUUCAAUAAUGUGGUAUGAAUUUAACUACAGAAAUGAGAUAAUCAAGAUCUCAAAAAAUAAAAAGGAAACAAAAAAUAAUAAAAAUAAAGAUAAGGAAAGGAAUACAAGAAGAGAGAGAGAGAGAGAAGGGGAAGAUUAAUUAAAUUAUAAGUAUACAAUUAAUGACACUGUUCUGGCCAAUUUUGUGCAAGUGAAUGUAUAUUCGGAAGAAAUUGAGGGAGGCUUGAGCCUCAUACUAUCUUUAUCGGAAAAAAUAAAAAUAAAAGGUAAAUAAAAAAAAAUAGUAAAAUGAAAAUAAGAGAUGCAGGAGAUGUGACAAAGAUGUUUAACUGAGAAGCCACGUGACAAAUUCACGUGCGAGCCAUAUGAAGCAAUUCAAUUAGAUGGACCCGACAUGCACUUAUUAUGUAUAUCAUGGCCAAGAGAUUAAUUCAAAUUUUGUCGACGCAUUAAUUAGGGAACAUUCUGGAAUACAAUAGUGUGACACUUUGCAAUGCCAAAAAAAUUUCAUUAAUGCGGAUUUUUAUUAUCAAAAAAAAAAAAAAAAAAAACAACGUUUGGUUGGCUUCGCUUCUCAGCCUAGUUAUCUGCUCCGAAUAGUAGUAGUUUGGUAUUACGAAGAUGCUGUUCAAUUAGUUUUUAGAACGAAUACGUACGAUUCAUGCAGAGCAGAAGCAACAGUUCAAGUAUCUAAUUAUUCUGGGAAAACAAACAGCAGAUCAUAACAAUUUUAAUUCUUUCUCUGCGAAGAGGAAUAUGGAGGUGGAAUAUAAUUGUCAGAGGACUCGAAUUUACACCUCUCCAAGUUAGGAGCAGGCUACAAGAGAUGAAAAAUUUAAUUGAGGAUAUACGAAUGGACAGCAACAGGCUAGAUUCUGUGACACUUAUAAGUCAUGGACACAUGUAUUAAGCAUUCUCAGUCGGUGGUUUGGAUUCAACGUAUUAUUAUUACUAGUAGGUCGGGACAUUACAGAUUCAUAAAAAAAAAAAAAAUCUCACAGCGAAUAAUCUUCUUAAACGGCGUUGGGAGGAAGAAUAGCUAUGUGUACUCUGCGUGAAUAAAUAAAUUGAAGACAUGUGACCAUCUACUCUCAAAAUGCAUCUACUUCGAUUUGCAUUGAAGCAUCGGAUGGUGAUCCAUCCUCAUCUCAAUAGGCAGAAAACGUCGGAGAGAUAUGGACGAAAAGGAUUAGACUGAAUGAAACUCCUCCAAAAGAAAAAAAAAUCCUCAAAUUUUUUUUUUUUUUAGCUAUAUAAUAGGCAAUCUAGCUUUUUUUUUUUUUUUUUAAAUAAGUAACACGCUAUCCGCUUCGUUUAUUUUAUUUAAAAAUAAAUUUAGCUGAAAAUAUGAAUCAAUUAGGAUUCAAAUUUGAAACUUUAAAUACCAAUCAUCAAGUUCUUUGCCACUUGCUUUAGAAACAGCCGAUAUAGGCAAUCUAGCUUGAAAGAAGUAACGUAAUGUUCAGAAGCGAAAGCCCGAUCCAUCUGAGGUUUAUAAUGGGUUUCGCGAGUCUCUGAAGUCUGAACUGACCGCUACCAAUUAAUGCCGCCCUCUGCUCUGCCAUUUUUUUCUUUUCUUUUCUUUUCUUUUCUUUUCCUUUCUUUCUUUGCUUUGUUCUCUCCCUUCACCUUUUGUCGCUUCUUGAACUUUUUCUAUAGAGAUCCCUGCCGUCUUAUCUCUACUGCUAAGUUUUUUUUUUUAUUAUAUAAAAAAAAUAGCUUGCUAUUUUUUUUCCAAAAAAAAAAAAGUUCUUUUUGGCUCAAAAAAAUUAAGACAACUAAACUAGGUAUAAGCGUAUAUCAAUGUGUGUUUUUUUUUUUUUGAGAAGUAAAUAACACGCUACUCGCUUUAUUCAUUAGAGAUAUAAAUUAAGCUACAAAAAUGAGGCAUAUCCAAGACGAAAGAAAAAAACCCCGGAGACUAGACUCGGUUAGUCGAAAAGGCUUGUUUCCAAGAGUUCGUCAACAGUUUGAUCUUGGGGACUAACAGCACGGGGUUCGGUAAAGCGUUACGAAAGAUCGUAUCGUUCUUAACCUGCUAGGUAAUCCACGAACAGGCUACUAAACCAGUUGAAUUAACAUGAGAUGGUCGCAGUCCACUCCCGGCCAUCCAUCUGUCCCAAACAGAGACCACAUCGUCAUCCAGAUCCCUACAAUGUGCAUCCUCCGGUCCCAGACAUCACAAUAAAAAAUCGAGUAAAAACACACCGUGAAAAUAGAUGGUCCAUAUUUUCAGCUUUAGCCCCACACAACACAAGAUAUGUUACUAGUCCAGCCUCUUUUUUACAAGGUUAUCUGCUGUAAGGAGCCUUCUCUUAAGGACAAGCCAACAAAACGUCUUCACUUUUAAAGGGAUUCAGAAGCUCCAUAUCUUGCUCGCUCGUCUAUCCCUCAUGCCCCCGUUAUUUAGCGCUGAAUAGGCCGAUUUAACCGUGUUGGAAAUAAUAGGCAGCGGAAACUUACAAACCGGAUAGCCAACGUAUCCGGGAACCGGAAUCGGAUCGGGUUGCUUGUUUUACAAGCCUUCUUGGAUCGUCCUUGUCUCGAUGCUUUUGGAUCUCCCACGUUUUUCGUCUUCUUCCACGCGUACGCCUUACGUCACGGAAAGGAUCGCCUUACGUCACGGAUGCCAAUCGGAGAGGGCUACCAGAGUCCUCUCCUAUGUCCACACCCUAAAACCCCGGGAACGUAGGUGGAAAUCCCAGAGAGGAAGAGGAGAGAGAAGAAGGAAGAUUUUGUGGAUUCUCGAAUUAGAUCGUAUUCAAUCAUCUCUCCUGCGGGAGAAAACGGGGCGUAUAUAUAAAAUAACGGAACCCCUAAAUAUCCUGAAUCUCCUAUAGAUUAGGAUAAGGAUUGGAAUAUUUAUUAACAUAUAAUAAAUAUCUAUUAUAAGAUAUGUUUCUUAACUGAUAAGAAACAUAUAAUUCAUACUUAUCAUAAACUUGUUAGGAUGAAUCAUGAUCCAUAACUUAUGUGGAUCGGGUCAAAUCAUAACCCGCCAAUGUGGACACACCAUAUGGCAACAAUCUCCCACUUGGCCACAUUGGCCAACUCUCUCUCACUCAUUCGUCUCUUCAUACGGGUAAUAGAGCGUGCGACCUGACGAAAAGAACCACAUGCAGGAGUGCUAAAUUAAGUCACCACCCAACUAAUAUAGCACAUCACUGACUUAAUUCGUCUAUGCCCUAGACGUUUCAACACACACCGGAUCAAGCAUCACAAAGUCCCUCUCCUGUAAUGACAGGGCUCGACCCCACCGUUAUUUCUCGUACUCAUGAUUAUCUCAAGUAACAUAACUGAGAUAACCGCCCGGGCAAUGAGUCACAAGACUUACGUGGUGUGUUAUCGAAACAUCUUCCUCAGCCCCUCACGUUAAUCCAUAUUGGUCCAAGCACUUUACUAGACGUGCUCCGCGAGAUCGUAUUUUCUCAUGACCCUGAGAUACACGCUAAGUUAGUUACUUUUGACCUCCACUUCAUAACGUAGUUCUAAGUCGAGGGCACAAAAGGGUUAGUGCUCACACAGUGACAUGGAGGGAAGAGCUUAUGUCACUCUACUAACUGGUCGACAAGCACAUACAGUAUGAUAUGUAUGCUAUGGCGGAGCUCCCACUCAAUGGGACAUGUCACGCUCUGAAAGAACGCCAUACGAACCUUGGUCUAGGUACCACUAAGGUAUCUAACCACCACAACUCAAGUCAUCUCUCUAACCUGAGCACUUAGGUUCGGCUACUAUACAGGCUCGAUAUGAAAUUUCACCAAAAAUUCAUAUCUGACUCUUGAGAGUCUCAUCUUAAACUAAUUAAGGCGACUUUUAAAUUACGUUAACACUUUAUUCAUAACGUAUAUGAACAAAGCAAUCAUAUUACAACUACUCAAGUUCAAUAUGAUUAUUUAGUCUCAUCCUGCUCACCACCUAGGUGCCAGGGCGAUCACCCGUGUGAGUGGGCUGAUCUGAGCCCGGUGACUUAACGAAUAUGUGCCUACUAGUAUCAAUUACGCAAUCACAUUAAAAGAAAAAACACAUUUUCAUUAAUAAAGCGUAAAAUACAAAAUAAUGUCCAUAAAUCAAAACCUACGAAGACCCAAACUCCCAACGUGGGUCUGGAACACAUCCCUAGCUAUCGGCUUGGUCAACGGAUCAGCCACCAUCCUAGUGGUGGAAAUAUGUUUAAGAACGACCUCGCCUAGCUUAAUCAUAUCUCGAAUGUAGUGAAAUCGGAUAUCAAUAUGCUUGGUCCUGCCAUGAUACUUGGGAUCCUUCACAUACGCCAGGGCAGCCAUGCUGUCAGAGAACAUCUCAACAGGUUCAUUUGCUCGAGUCACGAUGUCGAGGUGUUGGAGAAAUCUCCUCAGCCAAACUGCCUCCUGUACGGCCGCUGAACAAGCAACGUAUUCCGCUUCCAUGGUUGACAAGGCAAUGCAGCUCUGCUUCUUACUGCACCAGGAAAUUGCCCCACCUCCAAGCAUAAACACAUAGCCUGAGGUGGACCUGCGCUCAUCUCUAUCACCGCCCCAAUCAGCAUCACUAUAUCCUUUCAAUCUCAAGUCCCCUCCUUGAAAACAGAGAACGAGAUCACUGGUUCCUUUUAAAUAUCGAAGGAUUCUCUUGACCGCUUGCCAAUGAAUAGGUCCUGGGUUGCUCUGGUAACGACUUACCAAGCUAACAGCGAAGCAAAUGUCAGGCCGAGUACACAUCAUAGCAUACAUCAAACUGCCAAUUGCACUCGCAUAAGGAACCCUACUCAUUUGCUCCUUCUCUUUAUCCGUUUUAGGGCACUGAUCAAGACUCAGAGUUUGAUUCUUCUCCACUGGAGUAUCAACGGGUUUACAAUGAUGCAUCCUAAAACGCUCUAGAACCUUUUUAAUAUAAGAUUCUUGAGACAAACCAAGAAGUCUUCUAGAGCGAUCACGGAUGACCUUUACUCCGAGCACAUAGCUCGCCUCACCCAUGUCUUUCAUUUCAAAGUUGAGAGACAACCACUCCUUAGUGGUAUUGAUUAACUCCAUGUCAUUUCCAGCCAAUAAUAUGUCGUCGACGUAUAGAGAGAGAAACAAAAUCCCAUUCUCUGUUUUCUUGAUAUACACACAGUGGUCCUCCUCUAUCAUGGACAUACCGAUAGAGGUGAUGGCUUCAUGAAACCUGAAAUACCACUGUCUCGACGACUGCUUGAGACCAUAAAUGGAUCUUUUAAGACGACAAACUUUGUCUUCUUGACCUUUGAGUACAAAACCCUCAGGUUGAUCCAUAUAGAUCUCCUCUGCUAAUUCUCCGUUGAGAAAAGCUGUUUUGACAUCCAUUUGGAACAAUUCCAAAUCUAGGUGUGCCACUAAGGCUAGAAUCAAACGAAUUGAGGCAAAUCUCACAACGGGAGCAAACGUCUCGUUGUAAUCUACCCCUUGCCUCUGAGUGUAGCCCUUAGCCACGAGCCGAGCCUUGUAUUUAUCGAUUGAUCCAUCCGCCUUGCGCUUAAUUUUUAAAACCCAUUUAUUUCCAAUAGACUUGCGCCCAGGCGGAAGGUCAACCAAUUCCCAUACUUGGUUCUUGCUCAUGGAGUCCAUCUCAUCUUUCAUAGCAGCCAUCCACUCACUGCAAGCUGACGUCUGCAGAGCUUCUUUAUAAGAAGAAGGUUCAUCGUCAUCGAGCGGAGUACACAUGAAAAUAUCCCCUUCGAUCUCAAAAUGUCGACGGGGAAUAUGUCCACGUUCACUUCUACGCAAUGGAGGGUCCGAAUUGCCGACUUCCAAGGGUAUGCUCUCAUUCAACGAAGCACUCCCACUAGCCGGAGGAUCGCUACCACUUCCUUCAGCGACUUCGGGAAGUGAUCGAUCACCCUCAACCGCAGAUGGGGUAGCGUCGUCCUGUAACUCAUACAAUCCGACGUCUCUUCGCAUUUCACCAAUGCUUGGAAAAUCCCUUUCUAGGAAUUCCACAUCACGAGACUCAAUCUCGGUCAUACCACCAUCUGGGUGUUCACCAUACAUCACAUAACCCUUCGAAUUUUCAGGGUAUCUGAUGAACACAUGCUUGCUCGCUUUGGGGCCGAGUUUUCCGAAUUUAUGUGAGGGGCUGUGAACAUAUCCAGCUGAACCCCAAGGGCGUAAGUAGUGUAAACUUGGCUUUCUACCGCUCCAUAACUCAUAUGGGGUAGUAGGCACUGAUUUGCUAGGGACUCGAUUAAGGAUGUAGGCUGCAGUCAAAAGCGCAUCUCCCCAAAAAUUUAUAGGAAGUUGCGCUUGCGCCAUCAUCGACCUAACCAUGUCUAAUAGAGUACGGUUCCUUCGCUCUGCAACACCAUUUUGUUGCGGAGUACCAGGAAUAGUGAGCUGUCUACUAAUGCCCUUUUCCUCACAAUAAGUCUUGAACUGAUCAGACAAGUACUCACGACCUCGGUCAGUGCGAAGCGCCUUUACACUUCUUUCUAUUUGAUUCUCAGCCUCCGCAACGAAGCGUUUGAAGCAAUCUAAAGCUUCAGAUCGGCGAGAAAGCAAAUAGACAUAUCCAUAACGGGAAUAAUCAUCAAUGAAUGUGAGAAAAUAGCACGCACCAUGCCGGGCCCUCACAUUCAUUGGCCCACAAAUGUCAGAGUGGAUUAGCUCUAAAGGAUGAGAGGCACGAGUAGCCUUACCAAAAGGCUUUCUACAUGCCUUUCCAGCCAGACAAGGCUCACACACAGAUAGGUCAACUUUGGCGAGAGACCCCAAAAGGCCUUCUCGAGCCAGUCUAUUCAUUCUGUCUUGACCUAUAUGGCCUAAUCUGGCAUGCCAUUUAACGGAUUCAUCACAGAGAUUAGAAGAAGAAGAAGUAGAAGUAGUAAAUGCAAACGAAUCAUCCUCCAAAUCUAAUUUAAAGAAACCAUCAACUAAUGUACCAUAACCAAAUAAAGUACCAUGAAAGGAAAUGUCAAGGCGGUUUCUGUCAAAAUGAAAUGAAUAUCCUAGGUGCAACAAAGCUAAAACUGAACAUAGAUUACAUCGAAUUCCGGGUGCAUAUAGCACGUCCUGAAGAAGUAAAGUGCGGCCACCACGCAACUUGAGUUGGUACGAACCGACUCCAAGGACUUCUUCCUUCGUGCCAUUCCCAAGGGUGACGAAUUGUGUGCCAGACGGUACUCGAUGGUAAUCUACGAACCCCACUCGGUCACGAACUACGUGUUUGUUUGCUCCUGUAUCCACAAUCCAAUCGGGAAGAGAAUGAGCUACUAAAGCAUGAGAGCAAACAAAACAGUGUGAGUUGAGUGGUCGGGUUACCUUUUUCGGCUCAGGACAAUCCCGAACGAAAUGACCCUUCUUCUUGCAAUUGUAACAUUUUAGCUUUGUAGCAUCCUUAUUGCCAGCGCGUUUGCCUCUGUGGCGCUUUCCAACUCCACCCUGAGGAGCUUGAUUCCAUUUCUUCUGCGCUCCAUUGUUGUGACGCUUUUUGCGCUUGGGUACAAUCCCACUGCGCUUCUCGGAGCGUGCAACAAGAGCGACAGAACGGUUCACUUCCAAGCGCUCUGCCUCGAGCUCAAGAUGGCGCGAGAUGUCAUUAAACGUUUUAAUGUUCUCGCUGUGCGUCAUCAGGAGCUUCAUCUGGGACCAUUCAGGAUCAGGCAGUGAACGAAUCACCGCUAGAACUUGUUGCUCAUCAGUGAGCUCGUUUCCAGCAGUCUUAAGGUCCCGAAUCAUGGCGCUCAUCACACGAAGGUGCUCAGCCAUUGAAUGCUUCGGGUCUUUAAUGUACUGUAGAAACUUAAGAUUUAGGGCACGUAGCCUUGUAGAUGAAGUUUGACCAAAUGUAAUCUUCAAAUUGUCCCACAUAUCCUUGGCAGUUUCAAAGAUCUCAAACUGUCCAAUGAGGUCGUCUUGCAUGGCACUCAACAUAGUGUACCGAGCAGUUCGAUCCUCCUUGAUCCAUUUGUUAUAGAUCUCCUUUUCAUGCUCAGAAGCUGUGCCUUCGGCAGGCAAGACUCUUUUGACAGAUAGAGUUUCAAGAACCCCUUGUUCAUUAAGCAGGUAUUGCAUUUUCCUGUGCCAAAUAUCAUAAUUCUUUCCAUCUAGCUUAUCACCCCUGGUGAGAUCAGCUAUGAUGUUCUUGGAAGUCAUUUCACUACAUUCAAAAUUAGGUUUGGACAUUAGGCACAUAUUCCCAAAAAAAUUAACAAGAUUGAAACUUUAUCCUCGACACAACGGGAUCGAAAACUUCGCUAUGCUCGUAAUCAUCACCCAGUAUCGAUUCAAAAUAUUACAAUCUUAUUAAUUUUUUCUACUAAUUUUGAAACUUAUUCAAAAUUGAAACUGAUCCAUUUUGAAAGAACACAUCCUUAAAAAAUUUUAUACAUGAAGAACAAAUCACAUGAUGUCAUCACACAGAUAAAAAAAAUAAGUACUUAUGCCAAAAUUUAAUUUGAAAAACGUCGACGCUGCGCAAAACACAUUCCUUUACAUGGCCUUAAUUAUUACAUCACCUUUUUCAUAAUUAAAACCUACUACAUCACUACAAGAUGUACAUCAGAAAAUAAAUAUUCUACAGGAAUGCUGCACACGUCGAACCCGUCUUUCCAAAAUUAAAUUUUGUUAAAAAAUCACCGAAUAACAUAAGUACUUAUAUGCCAAUAAAAUAUCAUGCUACAUAAGCAAAAAAACACCCACAUAGGAUAAACAACACAUGCAUAUUCUAAAAAAAAGGCAUAAUAAGUAUCCAAAAAUAUUACGCAGGAAAUAUAUUUAUCAAAUAUCAUGCAGGAAAUAAAAAUAUCCACACAGGAUUUUUAUUAUUAUUAUUUUUUUUUUUGAACUGCGUGCAGCGAGCUAGGCCGGCUACAGAGCCUGCUCGGGCUCACGCAGGCCCGCCGCACAGGGCCGAGCCCAGCACAGGACUCGUGUGCCCACAGCGGCCGGGCUCGCACGGUUACCGCGGGGCGGCCCUGUGCCCGCAAUAGGCGAGGCCCUGCGCGGUGCGCUGGUGCAGCCCGUGCCCGCAGCGGGCCGGGCCUGCGCGGAGCGCAUGCGUGCAGAGCCCCGCACCCACAGCGGGCCAGGCCCGGCGGUGCGGGCGGUUGCGCUACGCUCCCGCAGCGGGCCGGCCCGCAGGGCGUGUGCGGGUGCGCUCCGCACGGCAGCAGCGGGCCGAGCCGCGCCGUGCGCGCGGUUGCGCCCGCGCCGCCGCAGCGCGGGCCCGCUCGGAGCAGCGGGUAAGCCCGCUCCGCAGCGGGGCGGGGCCCGGGCGGAAGCGGCGGGUGGGCUUCGGUACCUGCAGCAUGCAGAGCCCUGCGCUGGUCGUAGGCCUGCGUCCGUGCCUGCAGCAGGCGGGCCCGCGCAGGUGAGUACCGACGCCGCCCACAGCAGGCCGCUUCAUGCCGCUCCCAGUAAAAAAAAUUGCACGAAAAAACAACAUAUGUUAAAAAAAGUUCACAUGUUCCUAUGAUGAUCAGAAAAAGUAAAACUAAUUUAAUUUUUUUCGAUUUCACAAAGAAACAAAAAAUGCAGAACGGAUCUACAUCAAGAAUUGAUCAAGGAAAAACAUGCGAUCUAAAAUAUAGCAUCACAAGAUAUCAUAUAAGCGAAAACAAGCAUGCUGGCUCUGAUACUAAUUUGGUGGAAAUAAUAGGCAGCGGAAACUUACAAACCGGAUAGCCAACGUAUCCGGGAACCGGAAUCGGAUCGGGUUGCUUGUUUUACAAGCCUUCUUGGAUCGUCCUUGUCUCGAUGCUUCUGGAUCUCCCACAUUUUUCGUCUUCUUCCACGCGUACGCCUUACGUCACGGAACGGAUCGCCUUACGUCACGGAUGCCAAUCGGAGAGGGCUACCAGAGUCCUCUCCUAUGUCCACACCCUAAAACCCCGGGAACGUAGGUGGAAAUCCCAGAGAGGAAGAUGAGAGAGAAGAAGGAAGAUUUUGUGGAUUCUCGAAUUAGAUCGUAUUCAAUCAUCUCUCCUGCGGGAGAAAACGGGGCGUAUAUAUAAAAUAACGGAACCCCUAAAUAUCCUGAAUCUCCUAUAGAUUAGGAUAAGGAUUGGAAUAUUUAUUAACAUAUAAUAAAUAUCUAUUAUAAGAUAUGUUUCUUAACUGAUAAGAAACAUAUAAUUCAUACUUAUCCUAAACUUGUUAGGAUGAAUCAUGAUCCAUAACUUAUGUGGAUCGGGUCAAAUCAUAACCCGCCAAUGUGGACACACCAUAUGGCAACAAACCGUAUAAAGUCCGCCAGAACUCCAUCGUCAAAGCACCCUGUCAAGUCUCUGUACAAGAUGAAAUACCGAGAUUCUGUCCCUAAGUGCUGGGAGGCUAGGGCUCGAACCAUAAAUGUUCGAGUUGGUAUAUCAAUGUGUUGAAACUUUCUUUCGAAUGAUAAUACCGACCGUCCCUAACGCAAGUGGCAAAAGACUUGGUAGUUGGUACCCGAGCUUCCAAGUUCAAAUACUAGUUGAUUCUUAUUUCCAGCUAAAUUUAUUUCUAAAUGAAAUAAACGAAAUGGAUAGCAUGCUAUCUAUUUCUCAAAAAAAUAGAAGACAUAAUUAAAUUUAUUAAAUGAUCAUACUUGUACUUAUUAGAUUAAAUAAAGCUUAUCUUUCCUUCGUUUUCUCCUUUUCUUUCCAACUUAAAUUAAAAAAGAGAACGAAAAGCUUCGCCAUACUAUUUUUUUUUGAAAAAAAAAUAAUUUGUUAUCUGUUUCAUUCAUUAAAAUUAUGAAUUAGAUUACAGGGGUGAGGUAAUGGACCUAGCGCAGUUGGCUAGGUCUCAUAGCUUAAAUGGCUUCACCAUACGAGUGAUCUGAACAUUUCAACAAUACUAAAUUUCUAGUAUCUCUAAUUGCUGGGUAAAUUAUGAACAUUUACGUAAACAAAACAUUUACCCUAUAAUUCACGAUUGGAUUUUUAAUGGGUGUAUCAUCUUCUCUCGAUUCAUUUGCUCCACAAGUCUAAGAUACCAGCAUCAUGAGAGAUUGUUUUCUUUGACAAAAACUUUAUUGUUUGGUACCACAUUCCUAUCUUGGAUACACUUGAGGGCAAUCGUUUGUGAAUAUUCCAUAAUUAAUUAACUCUUUUCUUUCGUCUUUUGCUAAUCCAAAUACUUUGCAUACCGUUUGAACAUUUUUACGUGUUAUGUGUUAUGUUUCGCCUGAUUUUUUAAAACGACUAUUUCAUUAUAAAAUGUGAUAAUUUAAGAGCCGUGAAAAUGGACUUAUGGGUGAUAUGAGAUGAUUUCCAUUAAAAAAAUGUCGUUACUUUGUUGAACAACAGUACAUUUACACGAUACUUCAUCAAACAACGCUUAAUUUUUCGCAUUGGGAGGUCUCGAAUUCAAGUUCCGGUGCAGUGUAUCGCGCCCUCGAUUCGCACAAUGCGAAAAAUGAAUAUACUAAACAAAAAAAUAUAGUUAUAUUUCACAUCUUACUGGCCCUCUUAAUACGUCAUUUUCAACCAAAUAAUCAAUAGAUUUGUUUAGAUUAUCGUAAUCCACAUGUUUAUCGGGCACGCCUGCAGGACGGCUAAUUUUAACACCGGCUCAGCGCGACCGCGACGUUUAUUAGUGUUCUCCAGUGAUGCAAAAAUGUACCUACAACUUUUGGCCUUUUUAUGUGAAUUUGGUUAAUGAAAAUGAGAGGUUUCAACUUUUCUUUUCUUUUUCCUAAUUAAUUAGAAGAGACUUGAUUUUAUUAAUUCUUAGAGUUAGUACAAGUGAAAGCGAUAAAAGUGGGUUGCAAAUUUAUUCAAACUAUUAUGUCAUACAAGGAAACAUAUGUACAUCUCUUUGUCACCUUUAUUUUAGCUGUAGUUGUCAUCAGAAGGAGUUUGUUUAAGCUUUAUAUGCGGAAUAAACUAUGAACUAAUUAGCCAUAGAAGUUUGAUUCCAUUUUGAUUACAUCCUCGAAUUUCAAUUAUAGUAAUCAUGGACACCUUUUUAUUAGUGCAGGUAAUAUUAAAAAGAGGGGCUAUAAUUUUGGUUAGCACAACAACUGUAUUUUUUUAUAUUGGUUUAAACAUGUAGGACACAACGUACAUCAUGUUUUACUGUUUCCAAACUUUCGAAAUUUAAUCUUACUUUAAAGUAAGUGAUUUGAAUUAUCAAGAGCUUAUACAAUUUCUCUCUUACUUCAAAUUAUAUAAUUACAUUGUCUUGAGAGUAAAUCGAAGUAAAAUUUGGGCACUAAUAGUUAUAUAAUCGAAAAAAAAUUAUAUGAAUUUAAGAGUGGUGGACUUCAUGCACUAUGCUUAAAGAAAAAGUUAAUUAUUUCUGCGUCGAACCAUUCGACUCUUUUCUAUCCUUCAAACGUGUUCUCAAUAUUAUUGGUUUUUUUUUUUUUUUUCUCGCUUCUUUCAAUGCUUUGACCACUCUUAACUAUAUAUUUACUUAUUCAUGUACAUAAUUUUAUUUUUGUGCAGUACAAUUUCUACCUCUAUUUAUAGAGUGUAAAUUUUACAAUUCAUUCAUUCAAAAACUAUUAUUUUCUUACUACUUUUAGCAAUUUUUUAAUACUAAAAACUUGUAACCUAUUUAUUGGUGUAAUAGAUAGCAUUUUUUUUGCUUUUCUUUGUUUCCUCCAUGUAAGUGUUACAUAAUGGUAAAUAUAUCAGCUCUUAUCUCCAUGAGCUGUCCAAUUAAAUGAAUACACAAUUGCCAUUUUCUUUUCCUCUCAAUGAUUCUCUUUUGUUAAACUUUUGUCCAUGUAUGCAAUAUAUGUAUCUUAUUUAUGGUAUUUAAUGCCCCAGAAGAUUUUUUUUUUUGGAUAUUUAUUUUCACUGAGGUGCUUGUGCCCAUAUCUCUCCCAUCUACGUAUCCACAGCAAAUCGUAUUUGUAGCAGUUUGGGACAAUACAACUAUUGUUUCUAUGGGCUUUAAAAAACAGGGUAUUGUAUUUAAGGUAAAUAGGUUUCUCUGAGAUUGCACAGUGUCUAGAUGUGCUAUGAUAACGACUUCUAGUGUACAUAGGGUAUUAUGAUGUGACUCACCAGGAAAAAAAAAAAGAAAAAAGAAAAUAUAGAAGAGAUAAAGGAAAAUUACAAGUAAUUUUUUUGCUACGGUUUUGUAACAAUUAAUGCAAGUUCACUUGAUUAAACUAAAUUAUUUUUAAUAGAUUAUAAAGAUUGCCUUGUAAAUAAAAAAAUAGUUUAGUAGUGUAAUAGCUUUAGAAAAAAAAUAAUAGGUUAGUUGCUAUACAUAUUUAUAAUUUAUUAUUAGAGAAAAAAAUAUUGUGCACGCAUUUGUACAUUCCUGUAUUGUCCAUUUAGUGACUUUUUUUUUUUUUUUAAUCAUCUCAUACAUUGAUCCUACUACUCAUCAACAUCAAAUUUUAACCUUUUUCUUUAUAUAACAAUGAGACAAUCAAAUUAAAAGUACGAAAUUGAUGCAGAAUUAAGAAACUCGUGAUGUACAAGACUAUUAGUAUGAUAAGAAUUGUCUGCAAAUAAUAAUGUCUGUUAUAUCAUAAAGACUAAAAAGAAACACGGUUGAAGAUUUAAGAAUUAAAAUAAAAUUUUAGGAUUCUGAUUAUCAAAUUUGAAAUUUUGGGACCAAAAAUGAAACUUAUUACUUGUCUUCAAGUUUGGGGAUCAGUAAUGCAAUUUACUCAAGCGGCUCAAAAUUCUUAAUUAACAUAAAAAGGAUUAAUUGCAAAAAGCUCCAUAUAAAUAUAUCAAAUAGCAAAUAUAUUCCUAUAAAGUCCAACUUUUUAUUUUUAUUUCUACAAAAGUCCAGUGAUACUAAUUUUCACUCCUCUGGUUUGUUACCGUUAAAAUACUAUUUUUUUUUAACGGUAGAUAAAUGAAAUGAUAUUUUUGUCAUUAUAUAUAUAUCCCUUUGAAAGUCCCAAUUGUUAGAAUUAUAUAGAAAUGUCCUCCCUAAAAAGUAUUUAACCUGAUAAUAUAAGAGAGGAAAAAGAUCAAUUUAACUCAUUUACUAAUUAGAAUUAAGUAUUUUACUUAUAGUUAACUAGAUGUUUUUUAAUAAAUCCUAACAGUAAAGAUAUAUGUGAAAAUGUUAAAACUUUUAGAGAAAACUUCAAAUACCCCCCUUGUGAUUUCAUUUUUUUUCAUUUUAGUAUCAUGUGGUUUAAAGUGUAUAAAAUUAGUAUCCUGUGGUUUCUCACUAUAUCACUUUAGUACCCUGUGGUUUAAAGUGUAUCAAGUUAGUACCUUGUGGUUUCGCACUUUAUCCCUUUAGUACCCUAUGGUUUCGGACUUUAUCACUUUAGUACCAUGUGGUUUAAAAACCAUAGGGUACUAACUUGAUACAAAAAUAAAACCACAAAGUACUAACUUGAUACACUUUAAAACACAGGGUACUAAAAUGAAAAAAUACGAAACCACAGUGGAUUUUUUGAAGUUUUUCCAUACUUUUAUAAGAAGAAAAAUAAAAAAUUAAAUUUUAUGAAAAUAUAUCUGUUAUUGGAUAUACUUAUAGUAGGAGGCUGUAUGCAAUUAACCCUAAAAAAAUCGGUUAUGGUAUGCCUACCUCCAUUUGGUUGGAGGUUAAGGGGUGGAAUAACCUCUUAACCCUCAUUUUAUCCCCAAACACUUCUAAAAAUGGGUGGGGUUAGGUAACCUUACCUCAAAUGGGUUAUCCCGGAUUAGGUAACCCCACCUAACCGCACCAAACCCCAAUCAAACACUAUUUUCUAUUCAUAAUAACCCACUAUCUUUCUUAUCCCACAUACUCCAACCAAACACUAUUUUUCACUAUCCUGGACUAACUCCAACCCCAACCAAACACAAAAAUACUCUAACUCCACCUUAACCCUAAACUUAACUCUAUUCCUGGAAUAACUAAUUUUUUCUUAACCCCGAACCAAACGGUAUAAAGUCCAACACAAGGCAAAAGCUUGUGUUAUUAGUACUCAGCAGUAGUAGGGGAACUCUGAAUUGAAGUGUUCCCAGGGACUACACAAACCACACAAACAGAGAGAGGGAGAUAGAGAGAGAGAGAGUGCUCCCACAGUUUUUCUUUGUUUCCAAAAACCCACACUCCUCUGCUGCUCAUUAAUUACACUCCUACCCCUCCUUUUCUUUCCUUUUCUUCUACCUCCCCUUCCCCUUCUCCUCCUCCUCCUCCUCCUCCCAUCCUUUUCCAAAAAUCCCUCCUUUACACUUUGAUUAUUGGUUCCACUACUUCAACACUCCCCCCCUCCCACCCCUUCUUAUUAAUACCCAUCUCACCUAACUAUAUUUACACUGUAGUGCAACAAAUGGAUUCCUAUACUUCCUCUUCUUCUUCUUCUUCUUCUUCUUCUUCUUCUUCUUCUUUUGAUGAGUGGGUUCGGAGGGGAUGUGGGAGCUAUGGUGCCAUGGCUUCUCAGGUGGCUGGGAGGGUGCUUUGCGCCACCAUCACAUGCAUUUUUGCUAUAGGUUUGUUUUGUUUUGUUUUGUUUUUUUUCAUCUUUUUAUGCUUGAUAAACUUGUUGGUGAAGUGCUACAUGAGAGUUUGUGGUGAUUUGGGAUGUGGGCUUUCUCUAGCAUUAGUGCUAGAGCAUGAUUUGAUGAGUUUGGUGUUUGAUUCCUGCAUUUGCCAUUGGUGAUUUGAAAUUGGUUUUUUUAUUUUUUUUCCCUUUCGUUUUCAAUCAAUGGUUCAUUCCCUUUAAGCCUCUGCUCUAGAACAGGAUUUGAUGAGUUUAGUGCCUUUUAUUUUUUUAUUUGUUUGCAUCAAAUGUUUGAUUUUUAACAUACCUCUGCUUCUGUAAUCAUCUGAUGCAUAAUUUCCUUGUUUGAUCCUGAAUCACUGGGUACCAUUUUGAUUAAAUGAUAUGCUGAUGCUUGUUUCUGUGCUAUCUCAUUUGGGUUCAGUGGGCUCAUUUGUCGGCGCCGUCACCGGUGCUUUGAUCGGCUUAGCGACCGAAAGCGGGAUGUUCCGAGGGGCCGGGAUUGGGGCUAUUUCCGGCGCGGUCUUCUCGAUCGAGGUCGUCGAAUCAUCUCUCGAUCUGUGGAAGUCGAAUGAGUCUGGAAUAUGGAGCAUAUUGUAUGUGGUAAGCUUUGAAAGAGCCUAAUAGUUCUCUCCAGAAGAAAUUGCUAUGUUACCAUACAAUUGAAAACCUUUUUUGGGUUAAAAUGUGAUAGCAGUAGUUAACUCUUCAUUUUAGUUGAAGUUUACUCCAGGGUUUAGUUUUGUCCUCGUAGUUCCAUUUGUAGCUAUGUAGUCCCUUCCUCGUAGCUCCGUUUAUGUCAUGAUAACACCAUUCUGAGACUAAACCGAUUGUUAAAAUCAAAACUUUGAGGAUGACGUUAAUAGCCGAUAUUGAACUUUUAAGGGCGAAUUUUGGAAUCGAGGUCAAUUUCUGACGUUAAGCCAGGGUCACACUUCAAGACUAAAUUAUCAUAUUUGCAACGGGUCGAACUUCAGGGACUGAAUUUGUGAUUAACUCUAUCGAAAAACCCUCAGUUAAAAUGGAUGUGAAUGUCUAUUCAAGUACCAAUUCACCGACUUAUCAUACCAUUUAAAUAAAAGUAGAGAAACCUAGCAUUCUUGCAAUAGUUAUCUGUCUCCUCCUCGCUGCCUGGGGCCUGUCAGUUGUGAACAUGCUAUGCUUUUAUGAACAUUUUUGUCCAUCUUAAGAGAGGUUUCUAUUGAAAUGAACAAACUUCGUACCUUUUAAAGAGGUUUGGUACCCUGUUGCAACAAUUGACUGACUUAAGCUAAUGAAAUGUUGAUGACGCUGGUUUAUUUUAGUUUACUCUUGUCUAAGGGAAUGCCAGUGGGUAAUUUCUUUAUACUCGGCCAACAUUACAGAGUUAAGCACAAUAAACCUGAAACAGUACAAGGUACACAUUUGAGCAUGUGGGGUGGUACAUUUGGAGAAUUGUGUUAGCUAAACUAUGAGCUUUAACGUUGCACCUGCGGUUAGCAUAAGAAAGAGAAAUAUUUAGAUGCAGCUUAAAAAUCCUAGGUAAGUGCCUGCGUUCUUAUAGUUGUAGUGCAUUACAUCUCUACUUACUAUUCGGCGGCUAAGAAGUUGACCUCUUCUAAGUUACAGUGCUCACUAUACUUCUAAACUCAUUUGUUCAGAUGGACAUCAUCUGUAGUCUUCUGAGUGGGCGACUUGUAAGGGAAAAGGUCGGUCCUGCAGUGCAGAGUGCUGUACAGAGCCAGGUAUCAACUCAUGUCCUCUUUUCUUUUUUUUCAUAUAAGUUGUAGCAAGACUCGAAUCAAAAUAGAAAAUAUGCAUUUCCAAUACAUUGUUAUCUAUUUUACUGGUGCAUGUUGACAUCUUUUGCUAGCAAUUUAAAGAAGAUUAGUAGUACAAUGCUUUGGUAAUGAUUCAACCGGUUCUGAUUACAGAUGAGUGCUUUAGGCUCAUCGUACAUGGAAGUUCCUGAUUUCUUCGAAACUGGAGGAACGAGAGGCGUAUCAAAGGAUUCAAUUGACAAUAUCCCAAAGAUUAGAAUUACCAUGGGAAAUAAAGUCGACGAAACGGGAGAGAACAUCUGCUGUUCUGUAUGCCUCCAGGUUGGUUUCGGUUUUACGUAAAUUUCACGUUGGUGAUUUCCAAUAAUAGUAGUAUUGCACUAAGUGUUAAAACUUUUCAGGAUUUCCAAGUUGGAGAGAUUGUAAGAAGCUUGCCUUAUUGCAGACACAUGUUUCAUUUGCCGUGCAUCGACACUUGGCUCACAAAGCACGGUUCCUGCCCACUGUGUAGACGAGAUGUCGAAACCACUAAUGUAUGCAAACUAUAGGCGCAUAUAAAUGUAUAUGUAAUCGUCCAACGAACAUUGGACUUUGUAAUCCAUCUAUAAUUAUACAGAGUUCUUCGCCUUUUAUGGGGCUACAUCUUUGCAGAAUCGGCAGAGUUCUAUGACCCCUGUGUCAUCCAUUAAUCUCAUGCAAAGGACUAGUCAAUUUCUGACGAGCUUAAACAAGUAUAAACAAUUACCCUUGCAAAUACGAUGCAUUUAUUCAUCGUUUCGUGUUUUUGUUUCUGUUUACUUAGCGCAGUAAAUGAAAUAUCUACAUCAUUGUUCACUUAAUUAUGGUUUGUACUAUAGGGUUAGGUAUUGAAUGGUUUAUGGUAGAGAAUGUGUAUUAAGAUGAACCACUUGUUGGACCUAUUAGUACAUACGCCCGUGCAUCUGUGGCUUCCACUGGUGUUUGGUUCUGAAAAAGGGGUUGGUAACCGCUUCCAAUGUUAGGUAAGAACCGACACGUAACUAACAUAUAGCUAUAAUUUGUACGGGGAUCGUUGAAUAGCCCCGUGUAUUCGAAUUAAAUUAGGAUGGUUUGGGAUAAUGUGACGUGGUUAAAUUGUAAGUAGGAAUUUUUCGUGGUUCAGCUCCGAAAAGAUGAAAUCGCUUUUGUUAAGGUUUAGAAUGGCGGUGAACCGCUCAAACUGGUCUUGCUUUUAGUGCGGAUAUCAAACAACAAUGCGUCCUAAUGAGGUACAUUAUCCUUCCAUGCUCUUACGUUGCUACCGAUUGAUGAUUUCUAGAAGUUACUACUAGGGGUGGUGUUGGUUAGAUUUUGGAGGACUCGGUGAAACCUAACAUUUUGUCAACACAGUUAUACUUCUGUAGAGUGGGACCAUAUGUGAUUUAAUUAAGUGGCAGUUUGAUAAUUUGCUAUAGUGGGAAUUAAAUAUAAGAUUUUGAAAGCGGAAGCUUACCUUUGUUUCUUCCAAUUCUGCCACAGAGAGAAUCAACUAAUAAAGAACUCGGACACUGUUUGUACUUCAGAGCUGGGCCAAACAGGUUGGUGUAGUCUUCCCUGAUUUUAUACGGAAGAAACCUUGUCUUGAAAAAUACCCUAAUUAAAACUCCAUUUCUUGCAGGUCUUGCCCUGUUGGAAAUGUAGCAGCAAUUCUGUCACGAAAUAUUCUGAGAUGUUUCUGAUAGCCCGUCAUUCAACUAGAAAUAAUUCACCGUUGAUAUUUCAGGUAGUGUAGGACCUUCAUAAUAAUAUAAUAUCCUUUCAAAAACCAAGAUAUAUCCGCAAAAUUAAGAAUCACUUCAAAGGCUCUUACGUAAAAGAGUAACUUUAUAUCAAGAAUUUUUUUAUAUAAAAUGGAGUGUGAGAUAGGAUAUUUACAUACUAAAGACAUCAAAGAGAGGGCAUAACAUAAUUUUCGGGGAAAUUGCACCAUUGGACCCUGAACCUUUAGUCAAGUUUUCACUUUGGUCUCUAAACUUUUAUAUUGGGCACUCAACACUAAGGAAACAACAUUCCCUGAAUCCAGUGCGCUUAUACUUUGCACCACAAAUCCAUUGUCCCUCUAGUCAUUCCUUUCUUACAAUUCAACUAGCCAAUUUCCAAGUAGAGAUCAAAUAUGAGAUCAGAUCUAAGGCCGAUGGAAGCAUGACGGACAGAUGUACAGAUGCGCCGGUUUUUUUUCUUUCUUCUAACAGUAACCAAGCCUAAAGAGAAAUGAUUUUCAAAAGUUAAGAGUUGCCCAAUAUUCAACUUAAAAGUUUGAGAACCAAAGUAAAACUUGGCUAUAAGUUCGACGUUUAAUGGUGAAAUCUACACCUUAAUUUUGCAUAAACGAGCAUUACAGUGCCAACGAUAAAUAAUAAACGCCAUUAGAGAAAGAAGUCGGACAGUGGAAGCUGAGAUCUUAUCUCGUUAGCUCUUCUGUUGAAAUUUCGUAGUGCUUCAAUAUGAGGCUCAUCUUCCUCAACUGCUAUUAUUUUGGCAAAGUUACCCUCACCGAGAAAAUCCACUACCCUAUUAGCAGCUUCUAGUCCAGUCACAUAGGCUUUUUCCUAGUAUGGGAAAAAACUUACAAUGUGUAUUUAAUUUCUCACAAGAACCAGCAAUCGAGAGAGAGGGAGAGAGAGAGAAUCUGCAAAAUAGUUUCAAGUCCUUACCUUGGACCAGGACCCAUGUCGAUUAACAAUCCAAUCACCAGCCAUAAACAAGUUUGGGAAGGAAGUCGAGCCUCGCAUCAUGUACCUAUAAGAACCUGCAACUUAUAUGCUUGUAAUUAGAAUUCAAUUGGGGCCAUCCUUGGAAGAAUCAUAUAGAUAAGCCCAUAUAUCAGCUCAAAGCAAACAAAAUCAUGGCCGACAUACCUUUCAAUCUAAUCUAUUUGAUAACACGUCAAAUUAACUAAAUCCCUGCAAGAGUGUAAGUAGUUAUACAUUGGGCCCAUUCUUGUAUCUCAUUUCAUAACCUGACUUAAUGGUAUGAACACUAAAAUUGUGUCCAUUAAUACAUGCCACGUCUAAAAUUGCAUUAAACUUUCCCCAGUUUUCUCUAGUCUCUUUCUGUCUCACAACUUUUUUCUGCAUAAACAUGGCAAAGGUCCAUUCUCUUUCAAAUUUCCAAAAUGAUGCAUGUGUGUCCUAUUUGAUGGACUAGCAACCCUCUUUAGACAGGGCUUACUAAAGACUCUAGAGGCCAAUAUUUCUUGAAAUUGUGCUUCACUUAUAUGAAUAUUAGUAAGCACAAGUAACAGUUUAUAAGUUGUCUUUUUUCUUCCCCCCAUAGCUUCAGAGAAACAACUUAACAUCAAACAACCACAACAGAAUAUCUUCAAAAAUUUGCCCAACAAUCAUAAAAUAACCUCUCAACAAAUUUGCAUAUAUAACGGAAGCAGAUCAUCAUGUUAAUUAUAUAUUUCAGAGAAAAUUGGUAAAAAAGAGGCCCACUUUACGCUGAGCAAUGACCACAGCAAUCAUAAGCAUGAGGUGUAAGCAUUAAAUAUGAAAAAAAAAAGACCAUCAAAUGCAUAGUUUGCCCCUACAAACACCAGAUAGAUGAGCAAAGCUUGUACAAUGAUGCUACAUUAUCAUACUAUGACCUACAACUGUUAAAUACAAAGCUGACAAAGAUCUGAAAUAUGCAUCAGCAAACUUAUAAUCAGAAAAUGCUACCUGGAGAAAAAUGAGUUGCAGACAUGGGGCAUCUUACAACCAUUUGCUGCACUAUAACGGCCUCUUGGAAUUCUGGUAUGCAUUUCCUUAGAUAUGGCAUAACAUUUGCAACAAUCUGUUCAUCUUUUAGCGGCAAUAAUUGACUGGCAUUGUACUGCAGCAAGUGAAAAUUCAGAUAGAUGGAUUCUAAUAAUAAAUCUAACAUUCAGGUUUUUCGCAUAGGUGCCCCUGUAACUAUGCAAAAUUGUGCGAAUUCAGUGCAAAUUUGGCAUUUGUGUGUAGCCCUGACAAACUUGUUAUUUGCACAUAUGCAUUGUCAGGAGUAUCCACGCGGGCAUGCGGGAAAAUCAACAAGGUUCACACAUACCAACUAUGCAAAACAUCUUUUUUUUCUAUUGCCAAAGAUAGUCAACAAAGAAACAAUAGAACUUACAAUCUCGGUCUCUAAAACUGUUGCUGCUUCAUUGUCAUAAUCAUCAUAAAUUGAAGAGAGAUCAAAGAAAGUCCAUCCAGCAGAAUCGUCGAAGCCAUAGCAGACAUUGGCUGCAUUCGGAAUUUUAACCUGAUAGCUUUUAAAAUCAGCACUUGAACUUGAAGAUGCCUUCUGACUCGACAAAGAAAAGAAGAUUGCAUUUUGCUUACCUUUCUAUCAAGCCAUAGUUUAACAGAGACCACAUCAAUGGUAUCCAAUUUAAGAACAUUCAUAAAUUCCUGCCGUGUCUGUAGCAAAGGACUACAUGAAACUCAGUUGUCAGCAAGCAUGCUAAGGAAAGGCAUUUUAGUAAGUACCUGAAAUUCUCACAGAUUAUUAUAUUUAAAAAGGAUGAUUCUGUUGCAUAUAUAUAAGAUUUGAACUUCCACAUAUUGUUAUACAGAAGAAGAACAGUACUAAGUUUGCAGUAAAUAGAUUUCAAGUAGAUAGGUUAGACAUGCGCAGAUAACUAUGAACCCAGAAAACCAUUUGAAAAAUCUAUUAGGCAGGCUGUGAUUUCUAAUAAGAAGAGGUUGAUGCUGUCACCAAUUUCAGAAAGUUCUACCUGCUGGUAAUUAUGGACUGAAGAGCUGAGACUCCAACAGCUAAAAUAAAUGCAUCAGCCUUGUGAAUCUCCUGCCCACAUGCAACCCCUGAAAUGCAUCCACUCUCUUCGUUUAUGAUAAAGUCUGUUGGUUUUCUGUUUCCAUGGAACUUUAAGCCUUUUAAUUCCAGUGAUUUGAGCCACGGAGACAAAAUCUUUUCUUCAACUGUCCCACGACACCAUACGACAUCAAAAUUUUGCUGUACAGGCCAAAAGAAGUGAAGUAACCCACAAGAUCAUAGUGAUGGCUUAGUCUCUGUCAAAAAUGGCUACCGCAAGACUUUAGUGAUGGCUUAGUCUCUGUCAAAUAUGGCUAACACAAGCCAUAUGAUAAGCAAUAAACCAAAAAAAUACUUUUAAUCAGUGGAAGGAACGAACCUGAUGUGAGAGAACGUAAUAAUACAGCAUCCCCAAGGUUGCAGCUGCACUACACUGCUCUCCUGGAGCAAACAAGCCAACCUGAACUACUGGUCCAAAAACUUCUUGAUAAAGCCGCCGAGAGCAACCAAAUUGUUUAAAUAGUUCCCUUGAAGUCACUGCCAUUAAAAGCUCCUAUCAAACUUUAAAAUGUGUCAAGUUCUGAGGCUUCAUUAAGUACCAUGAGCAAUCCGCUAUCAAGAUAACUUCCUCACUUGCAUCAUAUUUCCUCCAAGCCAUGUCAGUGUUGUCAAAGUCAAUGACUGCAUUCCAUAAGCAUACAUUAGAGUGUUGAUAUAAUGGAAAGAUCUAACGUGAACAGUAGGACCCAAAUCAAAAACUCUUUUGGGUUUCCAGAAGUAAUAUUCUAAGGAAGAAAUCAAUGUCUUGAAUCAAUACCUGCAGCCAUAAGAGGAAUUGGAGUCAAUCGAUCCACCAAAGGAAGGCGAGGAAACUAUAUAAAAGAAGAAAUAAAGGCCUGAUUCAAACAAGAGCAAAAACAGAAUAACGCUGAUGAUUUCAAUGGGGUGAGGAAUGCUGUUAUGAACAUACUUGGGGAUAUAUAAGAGCACCAAGAGGAGCCGGUAAUCGAGGCAAAUCCUGAAAUAUAGGAAGCUCAACCUGCAUAGUGAUUACCAACUGACAUGCUCAGGAUAGAUGAUCACCACAAAGCAUGACGAAGAUCAAGAGCCUCUUUUCCAUGCUCUUGCUUUGCCUGAAAUUCCUUUUGUGUGAAGAAGUCAUGGAAAAGAGCAUUCGGCCACUCAACACGCUCUGCUUUUGAUACGAAAAUAAGCAAAAAUAUGUUGACUAAUAAUGUGCAUACAGAAGUACUUCACCUCAAUGCCUUCUGGGGAGUAAAAUGCCGCUUUAGUCCACUUAGUGAACGGUUCAACACCAAGCUCAUCAACAACAGAGAAUAUAUUACGAUACGGAUACCAAAAACCUACAGUUGCAUUCCGAUGAUUAAGGUCACCGCAGAGAAGGAUAACACUACGAAUCUUCUUUUUUAGUUUAGUAGAACAAAGAUUAAGGUGUUGAAUUUACCUAUAUAUCAAAAAUUGUCAGCAUCAGCGUUUCUAAAGUAAGAUUUACACUACCAAAUUACAUGCGCCUCGAAUCCUUAAAGAGUUUCAAAGUAAAACAGAUUUCAAACAACUAAACUAUUGUUCAACGAUCCAUCGUCUAUCCCUAAUCAUGAUCAUGCAUUCUUCCAACUGUAUAUUAUGAACAAAUUUCCAACAAACAACGUACAAACCCAGGAAUUACGUGAUUACACGCUCAACAUCAGAUCCCAAGAAUCAAAUAUAAUCGCAAAAAAUCCUCAAUAGAAAGAGGGGGGGGGCGGAAAGGCACACCUCUGACACCGAUCUCCUCGGCGGGCCCAAUCCCUGCUUCAAGAAGCGUAACAUCGAAACCCUACAAUCAUGUAGCAAAGUAGAAGAUCGAGAAAAACACAUCAGGAAGCAUUCCUGGAACUAGAGAGAGAGAGAGAGAGAGAGAGAGAGAGAGACCUGUUUGAUGAGGUGGUGAGCGGAGGCGAAACCGGCCCACCCGGCGCCGAAGACAACGACCUUCUUCGGCAGAGGCCCAUGGGGAGGUGGGGAGAGCUCGGCUCGGCAAUGGCUACUACGCACGGUUUCUCCCACGCCACGUCUCGCGCUCCCCCUUCUUAUAUAGUUUCGGUUGUGGUGGAGAGCGAAGCCGCGUUGGAUUGGAUUGUAAUGUGUGGCGAAUAAUUGGACUCAGCCUACGGGCCUAAGUAGGCCGUAAAAGAGCUAAUCUCUUGAAUUAGGUUAAAAUGGGCCGAGGCCCAAUGGCUGAACCGUCGACCCGGUCUAAUACACUGUCAACUGAAAAUAUGCUCCAACAAAUGUUUACUUGUUACCGAUCGUUUCUAGAGCAAGUGGCAAAAAAUUUGAUGAUUCUACCCAUCUAUCAAAAAAAAAAAACAAUUGUUUACCUUUUUUUUAUUAUUUCCUGUGUAAUUAUGCAAACAUAAACACAUGGCAAAAUUUAACUUGUAAAGGAAAAAAAACAGUCUAAUGAGUGGGAAGCUCUAGUAGGCAUAGUUUUAACUAUUACAGUCACCGACCGUCACUAGAGCAAGUGACAAAAUGGUUGGUGGUUGGUACCCGAUAUUCAAGUUCGAAUCCUAGUUUAUUCACAUUUCCAACUAAAUUUAUUUUUAAAUGAAAUAAACGAAACGAGUAACAUGCUACCAAUCUCUCUCUUUAAAAAAAAAAAAAAAACAAAAUAGUCACAGAUAAAACAAACCUUUCUAAAAUAUGUAUAGCAAUAUAUUUUGUUUGUUACACAAGUCUACCAUAGAUAUAUCAAUGUGAACAAUCAAAGAACAGCACAUCUCAUGUGUCUCGAAAUAGGAAAAGCAAUAUGUAUACCCCCUUAUAAAUCAUAUCUCCAAACCAACCUCAAUAGUGUUUUGAAUAAGUCGAGAAGGACUUCACUAAUAAUAAAUUUAUAAGAAAAACUUGAAAUUUACAAAACUUUUAGAUUUUUACAAGAAAUCUUACUCGAGCUUUGAUUUUGUAAUAUCAAACUACUUUUGUUAGCGUAGCCUCCUCCCUCCUCCAGUCAAAAUUGAUCGAUCCCUAAUGCAAGGUCACUUAAAUCUGUAUAUUAUGAAACAAAUAGUAAAUCAUAUGGUACACUGUAUAAGUUUAUAUGAUAAAUUUUAUAAAUAAUUAAAAUUAAAAUUAAAAUAUAUAAAAAUGAUGAUAUGGUCGGAAAUAAAGUACUGUACUUACUGCGCCACGUGUUGUUUUUCCAAAUGUUGUUGCCCAGAGCAAUCAGCAAAAUAUGGGCCUUUUUUUGCAUUUAGCAAAUUUUUAUUUUAAAAUUUAUCCUGCCAAAAUUUAAUUUGCAAAAAUGAUUCUGACUUGCCACAUCAGCACCAAGAGGGUAGGGCGGGGGCCGUGUGUUAAAUUGAACACGGUAAAUCAUUUACGGUGUUCAAAUACGGUGAAUGGUUCACCGUAUUUAAUACGUAUUUUUUAUAUAUUGAAAAGUGAAAUAGGAGGUAGGAAUGUCAAUAGGUAUGAAUAUCCGAAAUAUUAUCUAAAUUCAAACCCGAAUAAAUUAUAUAUAUAUAUACAUAAUUUAUUUUUAUUUAUUUAUACAAUAUAUAAAAUAUUUAAUAAUUUUUAUUUCUUAGAUCUUUAUCCAACGGUAUAGAUUUUUAAAACCCGCUGGGUUCAGUUUCGGAUUUCCAGUUUUUGGUCGGAUAUAGAUAUGGAUAUGGAUAUGAAUUUUUAAAAUCUGUCGGGUUCGAAUCCGGAUUUGGAUUUUAAUUUGAUUUUCGGGUUCGGGUUCGGAUUUUUGAAAAUGAGAAGAAAAGGAAUACAAAUUCCCUAUUCUUCUUUUCAAUAUACAAAAAAAUACGUACUAAAUACGAUAAACCAUUCAUCGUGUUUAGACACGGUGAAUGAUUUAUCGUGUUUAACUUAACUACCGCCCCAGCCCCGCCCACGUGGCGCUGACGUGGCGCCUGCGUGACAGGCUAGAGCCAUUUUUGCAAAUUAAAUUUUGACAAAACUAUUUUUAAAAUAAAAAUUUGUCAGGGAACUAAAUGCAAAAAAAGCCCGCAAAAUAUAUGUAUACAUGGCUAAAUUACAGAAAAUUCUCCUGUUAAAAUCCGCUUUUUCACUUCCCCUGUCAUUUAAAACCAAUAUUUUGCCUCCUUGUAAAAUAAAAAAUGUGCACUUCACCUCCUACCGUUAGGGUUCCGUUAUAACAUUUUUUUUAUGCCAAAAAUGCUCUUCCGCCCCUCUUCCCUGUUGAUUCGAUGGCUUCUGGGACGGCGCUCUCGUCGGCCUCACCCUCCUCCACGAGCUCAACCUCCUCUUCGACCGCCCCCUCAACGCCAUCUUCCUCAACUACAACCGCCUCCGCCGCUGCCGCCCCAUCCCCGCCAACCUCGACGACUCUCCGGCCUCCAUCGUCGUCCUCGCCCACAACAAACUCGGCGACUGCAUCCCACUCUCCAUCAGCCGCAUAGCCGACACCCUCAACGAGAACGUCCUCCUCGACGACGACCUCGCUGCCUGCGUCCCGCCCGGGGUCGGCCUCCUCCGCUGCGAAUGAGGAGGAUGAGGGAGAAGACGAAAAUGGCGAAGGGCAAAAGGGUCAUUUUGUCACACCGUACCCCUCGUAAACAUUUUUUAUUUUACAAGGGGGCAAAGUGUAGGUUUUUAAAUGACGAGAGAAAAAGUAAAAAAUCGAAUUUUGACAGGAAUUUUCUGUAAUUUAGUCUAUAUUUUUUUAUUUGUUUAUUUACAUUUUCCGAGGUAGAGUCGGUAAGUAAUAAGAGGUUAAAUAACUCGGGUUCUUAAUUGCUGAGGCGCAAAGCAACUUCGCCUCUCAUUGCUUUAAUAUAAAAAGUCGUCGAUCAAAUUAAUUGUCGCGAAAAUUUAAUAGGAAAAGAAAAGGAAAAUAUUUUAAAAAACUUCCACGUCGCACCGUCUCCGGAUCCGUGCCGUCUCCCUCACGAAGGUAUCGCGACCCGCAUCUAUUCCCGCAUCCAAGCUCCCCUCUUUCGUCUCUUUCUCCUCCUCCUCCUCCUCCUCUGGGUUCGGGUUAGGGUUAGGGUUAGGGUUUUGCUUCCUCGAUGAAGGUGAUCUCUACGUCCCCUCCUCGAUGAUCUCCUCCUCUUCCGCCGCCCUCUUGGCACCUUUCGCGACUCCCAUGGCCUCCGCCGCGGCGGCUCCUCCCCCCUCGGACGCGGGCGACGACCCUGGCGCCUCGUGGUACGGGAACAUCCAGUACCUGCUCAACAUCUCCGCCGUGGGCGCCGCGUUCUGCGUCGUCCUCUUCCUCCUCGUGAAGCUCCGCAGCGACCACCGCCGCUUCCCCGGCCCCUCCGCCCUCGCCGCCAAGCUCCUCUCCGUCUACCACGCCACCGCCGCCCAGAUCGCCCUCCACUGCGGCGCCGACGCCGCCCAGUUCCUCCUCAUCGAGCGCUCCAGCUUCGCCGUCCUCCUCGCCGUCGCCCUCGUUGCCCUCGGCGCUGCGCUCCCCCUCAACCUCUCCGCCGCAUCCGGCCCCGUCGCCGACCAGUUCGCCGCCACCACCAUCUCCCACGUCCCCAAGGGCUCCCCGCUCCUCUGGAUCCACUUCCUCCUCAUGGCCGUAGUCGUCGCCAUCGCCCACUUCGGCUUCUCCAAGAUGGAGGACGACCUCCGGAUCACGCGGUUCCGUGACGGCAACGGAAACCCUAGUGACCCCAAUUCGAACUCAAUCUCCAUUUUCACCAUGAUGAUUCAGGGAAUUCCCAAGACCCUCGCAGCUGACAAGGCCCCUCUCGAGGAGUAUAUCCAGCAUCGGUACCCCGGGAAGGUGUAUCGAGUCAUCAUUCCCUUCGAUCUGUGCUCCUUAGAACAUUUUGUUGCAGAAUGGACAAAGGUCAAGAAUAAAAUCUCUUGGCUGGAGGCUCGAAUGAACGCCCGAAGCCUAUUUGGUGAUGAUGAUGAUGAAGAUGGUGUGAAUAGCAACCAGCAAAGUAAUCAAAAUAUGAUUUUUACUAGAAUUAAAGAGUUGUGGGCGAUGGCUGCUGUCAAAUUGGGCUUCACUGAUGAAGAGAGGCUAAGGAAAUUGCACAAUAGAAUGUUGAUUCUAGAGAGCAAACUGAUGGAUUACAAGGAAGGUCGUGCGCCCGGUGCGGGAAUCGCAUUCGUGGUCUUCAAGGAUGUCUACACCGCCAACAAGGCCGUGAGGGAUUUCAGGUCCGAAAGAAAGAAGAGGCCCAUAGGGCAGUUCUUCCCAUUGAUGGAGCUUCAGCUCGAACGAAGCAGAUGGAGGGUGGAGAGGGCCCCGCCGGCUUCUGACAUCUACUGGAACCACCUUGGUUUGAACAAGGUCUCAUUGCAAUUACGGCGAGUUGCUGUGAACACUUGCCUUGUUCUGAUGCUUCUGUUCUGUAGCUCACCUCUGGCCAUUAUAAGCGGGAUGCAGAGUGCGGGGAGAAUUAUUAAUGCGGAGGCUAUGGAUAAUGCUCAAUCUUGGCUAGCCUGGCUAGAGAGCUCCAGCUGGUUUUGGACGGUGAUUCUCCAGUUCCUCCCCAAUGUUCUUAUUUUCGUGAGCAUGUACAUUAUCAUCCCUUCGGCGCUUUCUUAUCUUUCCAAGUUUGAGUGCCAUCUCACUGUUUCGGGGGAGCAGAGAGCUGCAUUGCUAAAGAUGGUCUGCUUCUUUUUGGUAAAUCUCAUAUUGUUGCGUGCCUUGGUGGAGUCUUCUCUAGAAAGUGCAAUUCUUCGCAUGGGGCGGUGUUAUUUAGAUGGCGAAGAUUGCAGAAGGAUCGAACAGUAUAUGAGCCCAUCAUUUUUAUCCAGGUCUUGCUUAUCAUCUCUUGCAUUCUUGAUUACAUGCACCUUCUUGGGGAUCUCUUUUGACUUACUGGCUCCGGUCCCUUGGAUAAAGAAUAUGUUGAAGAAAUUUCGGAAAAAUGACAUGCUCCAGUUAGUUCCAGAACAAAAUGAGGAUUACACAUUAGAGCAUAACAACGAAGAAAAUAAUCUAAGAGCCCCUUUGAUGUCUGAGAGACAAGACAGUUCGGUUUUGAAUGAUAUUGAAGGACACAGUCUUUCAGUAUACCCAAUAAACAGGAGUUUCCACAUGCCAAAACAGAAGUUUGACUUUGCACAGUACUAUGCGUUUAACCUCACAAUAUUCGCACUCACCAUGAUCUACUCCUUGUUCGCUCCGCUAGUGGUUCCUGUUGGUGCCAUAUACUUUGGCUACCGAUAUGUAGUGGACAAGUAUAACUUCUUGUUUGUCUACCGAGUUCGAGGAUUUCCUGCUGGUAAUGAUGGAAAGCUGAUGGAUAGGGUGCUAUGCAUCAUGCAUUUCUGUAUAAUCUUGUUUCUUCUGUCUAUGUUACUAUUUUUCUCUGUCCAGGGUGACUCUAUGAAGCUUCAAGCUAUUUUUACUCUUGGCUUGCUAGUUUUCUAUAAGGUGCUCCCUUCAAGAAGUGAUGGGUUCCAGCCAUCUCUCUUGGAGGGUAUGCAGUCUGUUGAUAGCUUUGUAGAUGGGCCUACGGAUUAUGAGGUUUUCUCCCAACCUCAAUUUGAUUGGGAUAUAUAUCAAUCUUGAAGCAAAAUUAAGUCGAGUCGUUUUAGUGUAUUCUCAAAAUUGUUCCCUGUGAUGGUUAACAUUUAUUUAUGUAGCACUAGCAUUCCUUUGUAUAGUCAUACUUGCCAUUUCUUAGCUUUCUUUUCGGGGUACUGUAAUUUGGGUAGGUUUAUGAUGUUUGUCUAUUAAGUUACACUCAAAUUCUUGCCUGAACUUGCGUGAUAGGUGGAGAAUGUACAGUUUUAUCGAACAUUGUUUCAAAACUUAAGCAUUGGAAUCUUUGCAUUCCUUUUUAGUGCCAUGAUUUGUUUAUUUGUUAGUCACCGUUGGCUUUUGUUCAGUUGAAAACCUGUAGUCUGAUUGCAGGCCAGGGCUAAUGCCUUGCAAGAAGUAUCUAUCAAAGUUUCAUGUGCAUUUGCACUACAGUAAUCUAGUGUGUAAAUAUUUUUGCUAAUACAGAUGGUUAGUCUUGAUCAUUAUCCUAGUUCACAAUGUGCAAAUGGUAUUUUCGGUUGAUUAUGUAACUUUUCCCUUACAGAGAUGUUAUGAUCAGCAUUUUUGCUUUGGUUGAAAAGUAGUAAUGACUUUCCUAUUUUCUCUUGGUCGCUUACCAUAGUGUUACUAAAGUUGUGUGGGCAUUGCAUUGUCUUGCAAGUCCUUCCUGCUUGUAGGCUUGUAGCCUCUUCAGGAGAGUCCCUUAGGCAGUCAGAUAUUAUGAGUCCAUCAAACUCACUCCUGAACCUCUUCGACAUUCAUGCAAUGAUGAGGUACUGCAGAAGAAAACAGUGAAACCUAAUUCGAUUGAUUGUAAUAUACUAUUUAGCAUGUUUGUGAACUGUAUAAUGAAGCUUUGAAUAUGUAGUUCUUUGCAGCCAUGAGCUGUUAUAAUGAGAGGUACUGCUGUGGCACUUCCAAGAUCCUCAACUUGCUCUAAGGUAAUAUUGACUCCUUGUAAAGAUUCAGUAGCAUUAAGCUGUACCAUUAUAGUGUUGUAAUUUGUCAUUAUCUGAAAGUAUCUUGUGGGAAUUGGUUGUCUUAUUGGUUCUCUUAUUCCCUCUUCAUAAGGCAACUUUCUUCAAUGAAGUUUCUAAUCAGUGGAUUGCUAGUUGGUAGGAACUAGAGACUUUGUCCAUCAACCACAAUACUUUAUGUGAAAAAGGUUUUGUCGAUUUCUCCGCCAUGCAUAGCAUUUGAAUAACACCAUUUAAAUGAACUUUUGUUUGCAAUAUAUUAAUCUUGUACGGUGAAUCAGCUAACUUAUUCUAAACAUUUAAAUACCUUCUCCUCUAACUUGUUGUGCUUUGUUAGACAGGUUUGGAAGGAGGAUUAUUCCUGAAACUCUGGAAGUAUCAUUGCUCAGUGCUCUCUGCUUUACCUUUCACUUUAUCAUAUUUGGCAAAUUUUUUUUACUGUUUAUAAAUAAUAUUUUUUUUACUAAAUUAUUUUAAAUAAUGUUAAAUUUUGAAUUUAACUUUUAAAUCUGAAAAAAAUAUAAAAUUUAAUAUUUUAAUUUAAAAUAUAAAUAUGAAUUUUAAAUUUUAAAUUUUAAUUUGUAGUUUAAAAUUUAAAAUUUAAAAUUUUGGUUUAGGGAUAGAUUUGAAAUUUGAAAUUAAAAUUUAAAAUUUAAUAUUCAAAAUUUUAAAUUAAAAUUUUAAAGGUAAUGUAUUGAAAGAGUUUCGAGGGUUUGAGGGUAAACUUGCAAUUUUAUACAACAUGCAAUAUAACUUGUCAUCUAUAAUAUGAGAUAUCCAUCCUCUACUAGAUAAUAUUUUUUAAGUAAUUCUAUAUUAUUUAUAAUAUUACAUUAUCAAUCAGAUUCCAGACCGAAUGAGCAAAACUAUAUUUCACAUAAUUGCUUCCAAUGUUGGUUAGUUUUAUUAUUAUUCUGUAAACUGCCAUAUCCCACAAACAAACUCAGUUCCGUGGGUAAUUUCUCCAUUUAGAUUGCGACAAUGCUAUUGCUAUGUAUUCCAAAAGCAGAAAGAAUGAUUGGGCUUUUCCUCUGUACUAAACAAAAAUCUCUCUAGAAAAAAGAAAGAAAAAUUAAACGUUUUUUACAGUUUUGUAACCGAACAUAACGAUACUUUACAAUCACGUGAUAAGAAGUACUUAAGUAAUUAAGUUCAAAGCAACCUGAGAGGAACUCUAACUACCUCGUUAGCGUGACUUUUAAAGUCACCUCUCUNACUUUACAAUCACGUGAUAAGAAGUACUUAAGUAAUUAAGUUCAAAGCAACCUGAGAGGAACUCUAACUACCUCGUUAGCGUGACUUUUAAAGUCGCCUCUCCUCCACUCGUCGUCGUCGUCUUCUUCUUCCUCUUCACACUCCUCGUCCUCCCCCCACCCUCCUACGCUUCGUUCUCUGUUCUCCCUCCCACUCCCCCUCUCCCUCUCCCUCCUCUCCCCUCGGCGUCGCAGCUCUCAUGGCAAUUGGGGGAGAUGGCCCUCUUCCUCCACUUCGGGCCCAACACCUUCACUGACUCCGAGUGGGGCAGCGGCCGCGCCGACCCCUCCGUGUUCGCCCCCGAGGCCCUCGACGCGCGCCAGUGGGCCCGCGCCGCCGCCGCUGCCGGGUUCGCCCGCGUCAUCCUCACCGCCAAGCACCACGACGGCUUCUGCCUCUGGCCCUCCGCCUACACCGACUACUCCGUCCGCUCCAGCCCCUGGAGGGGCGGCGACGGCGACGUCGUCGCCGAGCUCGCCGCCGCCGCUGCCGAGGUCGGGAUCGGGCUCGGGCUCUACCUCUCGCCAUGGGACCGCCACGAUCCCUCCUACGGCAAGACGGUCCAAUACAAUGAGUAUUACUUGGGGCAGAUGACCGAAUUGCUCACUCGGUAUAGCCGCUCUUAGUUUCUAGGGUCUUCAUUUCUAGGGUGUUGGAAUUCACCUAGGAUUUUGCUCAAUUUGAGAUCUAAGGUCGCAAUAAGAUGCAAUCUUCGGAUCGUUUUCAUGAACAAAAUCAUGCCUUUUAACUAAAUAAGCCAUGUUGCCUAGGUGUUUCCUAUCGGAUCGAUCUUUUACUUAACAUGGUAUAAGAAUCGGUCCUAAUCCCUUCCCAUUCUGUGAGGGCAUGAGUUCAAUCUCCACUGCAACUCACCUCACCUGUCGUCCAUGUGUCUCUCAUACUCUUAUGCAUGUAAAGGAGGGGUGUUAAGACGGUUCCGAGUCUUUUUCUAUCAGAUUAAUCAUCAGCUCUGAAAUGCAUGGUUUGGAUUGAGGGUUAUAGUAUUCUAGAAUUGAAGAAAGAGUGGUUUGGAUUGAGGGUUAUAGUAUUCUAGAAUUGAAGAAAGAGUUACUUGCUAUCGAAUUGUUCGUCAUGAAUUUUAACGUGUCUUGGGACAGGUAUGGGAAUGUUCAGGAGGUAUUUUUGGAUGGUGCGAAGGGUGAGGGCGAGAAGGAUAUGGACUACCUGUUCGAAUGCUGGUUCGAGGUCAUUCAUCAGCUGCAGCCCGGGGCUGUCAUUUUCUCUGAUGCUGGGCCGGACAGUAGAUGGGUUGGAGAUGAGGCGGGAGUAGCCGGUUCCACUUGCUGGUCUCUUUUCAAUAAGAGUUCUGUCACUAUUGGCCACAAUGAUUAUCAGUGAGUGCUUCCUUGGCAUUGGCCUCAUUUGACUCUCUUUAUGCAGUAAUUUUGCAUCUCAAUCUGUAGAAGUUUUGCAGUGGACCUGCAGAACAUGAACAGAAUUCAUGGUUACCGUACGACUUAAUAGCAAAGAAGUUCUGGUUGUGUUAAAUCUCGUGUGUGUUUUGGAUGCUAAAACUUGAAGUAAUAUCAAUUCCAACAAGACUGUUAUACUGGCCAUACUUUGGUGGUCUCUUGUUAAGUAAUUUAAGAGACAUACAAACCCACACGCAUCAGGUAACUGUUUCUUGAAUUGCAGAAACUCUUUUAUCAGGAUUGAGUGUGGCAAACAGUGCACAAUUUUGCAGCAAAAUUACUGUUUGCGAACCAUGGAAGAUCCUUUUUAAUGUUGCUUCUCCUACUUCCGACACAACAUGUGAGUUCAGCAAUGGCAACGUCUGCUGCGCUCACCUACUCUUCCUGAUUAUAUGAACAUAAUCCCAAAUAUUAAGGUCUUCCAACUCUUGUGUCCAAUACCUAGUGUGAUAACAAUUUUAUGGAAACAUUUCCCUAUCAGUAGCUAGUUAUCAGAGGAAGUUCAUUCCCUUUUGUCAAUUAUGAGCACCCUGUGGGUGAAUUUUUCCCAUUCGCAGGUGACAUAAGACAGUAUCCUCUUUGCCUAUCUAUUUGUAUGUUUAUUUACAAGUGCCUUUAAAAUUUUCUUUAGCUAGAUCACGGCAAAAUUUCUACACUGAAAUUACUCUCUAAUGCAAGAAUGUAUCCAGAACAGAUGAUACCGUAUGUUUAUGUUUUCUUAUCUUGUAUUACAUAAAUCAGCAUGCUACCAUAAUUCUAUCAUGUAAUCAUAUGAUAAAUAGAUCCAGUAAUCUCCUUUUCAACUGUACACAACAGAUAUUCUCAUUCAGGAGAUCCUCAUGGACGCGACUGGGUCCCUGCCGAGUGCGAUGUAUCCAUCAGACCUGGUUGGUUCUGGCACGCAUCAGAACAUCCAAAGUCCGCACAAACCCUUCUCGACAUUUACUAUAACUCGGUCGGUCGGAACUGUCUCCUAACACUAAAUGUCCCUCCCAACUCAUCAGGCCUCAUAUCUGAUGAAGAUCUCCAAGUGCUUCAGGAAUUCACCACAAUUAGAAACGCCAUAUUCUCUCAAAACUUUGCUAAAAACGCCACUGUUACUGCAAGCAGCGUACGUGGAGGACAUGGCGGUCUUCGUUUUGAUCCCUCGAAUGUACUCCAAGAAGGUAUUCAUUCUUACUGGGCCCCGGAUGAAUCGCAGUCCGAAUGGGUGUUAUACCUCAACUUAAGCCAGUCUACAUCGUUUAAUGUGCUGCAAAUCCAAGAGCCGAUUCACAUGGGCCAGCGUGUGAUUGAGUUUCACAUGGAUGUUUUGAUCGACGGAGUGUGGGAAACUGUAGUCAAUGGCACGACCAUCGGAUAUAAGAGGCUGCUGCAGUUUCAAAUGGUAGAAACCCAAUACUUGAGGCUAUUUAUUGACAACUCGCGUGCUGAUCCGUUGAUUUCCUUUAUUGGCAUAUUUGUGGAUCCCUUUUCAGUCACAGUAAAAUUAAAAGAUGCUCCAAAAGCAUCUGCCGCUAACAGCAGCAGCCAAGCUAUAAUGGUAACAAAACAGGAUUAUUCCGGCAAUGUGAGUAUCGCAACAAUCUAGUAUUGGGGUAUCCUGUUCUUCACUUCAGUGAUGUCCUGAGCUGUGCCAGUUAUAAUCUUGAUGCAGGCAAUGGAAACAGCUUCCUUUGAAAGCCCUGGGGUCUCACUUUUUUAACUUUGGCUUACACAAUUUAAUCCAUUUGCCAUUUUCUUAUAUUUUCUGUAUAUAUAUUUUGUCAAAGUUUAUAAUCUUAGCUAUUGUGUUUAUCCUGCAAAUUUGUGAAGCUCCAUCAUUUGUGGAAACUAUUUCCUCUGCUUUGUUUUUUCCUCCUGUAUGUUAAAUAUUCAUGUGCGUUACUGUCGAAUGACGCAAAAAUAAUUCACAGCUCUUCUCUCUCUCUCUAUUUCUCUCUACAUUCGGUUGCUUUGUUGAUUUUAUUUUAGCCCAAAUGAUACUAAUUUUACGGUUUUGUUUCUUUGGCUUUUUAACAAAAAGUAGUUAGCUCACUGGAUUACAAUUUGCUGCUUGUAUUAUUAGAUGAACGUGACAUGUGAAUUAACGAAAGAUUAAGGUAUUUUUACAGGCAAUCUUCAUCACAGUGCAUUAAAGAAUAAAUAAAUAAAAAAAUUAUAUUUAUAUAGUUUCUUUCUAACUUUGACUGUUUAAGUAGUAACUUAAUAUCAUAUGCGUUUCGGCGUAAUACUAAAAUAAAAUAGAAUAAUAAGUGAAACUGAAUUAAUUGAACUCUAAUUACCUUUAAAAUUUUCUCUAUUCUUUUAAUUUACACAACCACACGACGAGGUGAGAGAAAGUAUGGCGGAUCAAACCCCACAAUUCCCUCCUCUCUCCACUCCGUACGCUCCUCCUCCAUUCUCCUUCCCCCACCUCUCUCCUCCCCUUCCCCAACCCAUCCCUAGCCCUAACCCUAACCCUAACCCUAACCCUAAUUCCACCUUCCACCUCCAAAUCCCCUUCCAAGGCAAGCGCAAGCGCACCGGGUUCCGCCGCAAAGCCUCCCACCCAUCCACCUCCGAGGUUACUCCUCCUCUUCCUCCUCCAACUCCUCCUCCUCCUCCUCCUCCUUCGCUCCCCUUCUAUCCCCCACCCAGCGGCCCCAACCCCAUCAAGAACCCACUCGAAAACCCUAGCCUCGACCUCUCCGAGGAGAUCAUCGUCAUCAACAAGGAGCCCACCGCCGAGGCCCUCACCGCGCUCACCGCCGGGUUCCCCGCCGACUCCCUCACCGAGGAGGAGAUCGAGGCCGGGGUCGUCUCCUCGGUCGGCGGCAUCGAGCAGGUGAACUACAUCCUCAUCCGGAACCACAUCCUCUCCCGAUGGAGGGAGAACGUGAACAAUUGGGUCACCAAAGAGAGCUUCACCUCCGUGAUCCCGCCGCACUGCGAAACCCUCUUGAAUUCGGCGUACAAUUACUUGGUCUCUCACGGGUUCGUCAACUUCGGAGUCGCCCCGUCGAUCAAGGAGAAGAUUCCCGCAGAACCCUCAAAACCCAAUGUGGUUGUCAUCGGGGCUGGAUUAGCCGGUUUAGCUGCCGCGAGGCAGUUGAUGCUUUUCGGGUUCAAAGUUGUCGUCUUGGAGGGUCGGAAGAGGUGCGGGGGCAGAGUGUACACGAAGAGAAUGGAGGGGGCAAAUAAAUCUGCGGCCGCGGAUUUGGGCGGUAGUGUAUUGACCGGCACGCAUGGAAACCCUCUGGGAAUCAUAGGCAAACAGUUGGGUUUGUCUCUCUACAAGGUGAGAGACAAGUGCCCACUUUAUAGGCCGGACGGUAAUCCCGUUGAUCCAGAUAUGGACGGUAAAGUGGAGAACGCAUUCAACAAGCUUCUUGAUAAAGCGAGCCGGCUGAGGCAGUGCAUGGGAGAGGUUGCUAUGGAUGUCUCCCUUGGCGCUGCUUUGGAGACCUUCAGGCAUGUUUACGGUGAUGCUGUUACUGAUGACGAGGUGAACUUGUUCAAUUGGCACUUGGCAAAUUUAGAGUAUGCUAAUGCCGGGCUUUUAUCAAAGCUCUCGUUGGCGUUUUGGGAUCAAGAUGAUCCAUUUGAUAUGGGUGGCGAUCACUGUUUCUUGCCCGGAGGCAAUGGGCGGUUGGUUCAGGCUCUAUCCGAGGGCGUUUCAAUUAUUUACGAAAAGACCGUGCACACGAUUCGGUAUGGUGUGGAUGGCGUGCAGGUUAUUGCAGGCGGGCAGGUUUAUGAGGGGGACAUGGCCUUGUGCACGGUUCCGCUCGGCGUUCUCAAGAAUGGGAGUAUAAAGUUUGUGCCUGAGCUGCCUCAGAGAAAGCUCGAUGGGAUUAAGAGGUUAGGGUUUGGGUUGUUGAACAAGGUCGCAAUGUUGUUUCCGUAUGUCUUCUGGAGCACAGAUCUUGAUACAUUCGGGCAUUUGUCUGAUGAUCCAAGCAAAAGAGGGGAGUUUUUCCUGUUCUAUAGUUAUGCAACGGUGGCCGGUGGGCCGUUGUUAAUAGCAUUGGUUGCAGGGGAAGCAGCACAUAAGUUUGAAAGCAUGCCUCCGACUGAUGCUGUGACCCUAGUUCUUCAAAUUCUAAGGGGUGAGUUUAUUUCUUAUUACUUUUGCUCAUCAGUUUUGCUAGUUCUUUUUAGCGAUGAUUAAAUGUUUAGAUAGGUAGAUAAUUCUUCUAGCAUCAUAUUAUGCAUUCUGUUGUUUUCUUAAAUUACCAAUAUCUUGGUUUUAUUCCCUAUUUGUCAGUUCCGCAAUUCUUGGUAACUAAUAAAUAAAAUUGUGAAUCAUCACUACUAAAUUUUUUUUAAACUCUGUUAGAUACUUUUGUAAAACAUCACAACUUGUGUUUUUAAACUCCAAACGAUACUUUUGUUGGGUAUGUUUUUUGACAGAUACUGAUAGUCAUCAGGAAAUUUACACGCACAUAACAUUAAUGAUGAUAUCUAAAGGUUCAUUUAACUUGUCUGUCUCAGCUUGCAAAAAAUUGGAUUGCCCACCUGUUUGGGCAUAAAAUUCAUCAAGUUUGCUAAUGGCCAAAUUGGUGGAUCUUCCCUUCAUGAUAAAAUCUACCAUCUGGAUUUGAACUUUUUAAGUGUUCUUAUAUCAGAUCUACAAACCUUUGUUAUUCUUUCACAUUUCAGAUUCAAUCUAAUCUCAGACUUUCGCUAAUAGGAAUUUAUGAACCACAAGGAAUUGAAGUUCCUGACCCUCUCCAAAGUGUUUGCACUAGAUGGGGAACUGAUUCAUUCAGCUUAGGCUCAUAUUCUCAUGUCGCUGUGGGAGCAUCUGGCGAUGACUAUGAUAUCUUAGCAGAAAGUGUCGGAGAUGGGCGGCUUUUCUUUGCCGGUGAGGCCACCACAAGGCGCUAUCCUGCAACAAUGCAUGGUGCUUUCAUUAGUGGCCUAAGAGAAGCCGCUAACAUAGCUCAUCAUGCUAAUGCUCGAGCUUUGCAAAUAAAAGUGGAAAGAAGCCCCUCAACGAACACUCAGGCUUGUGCUUCUCUACUAGCAGAUUUAUUUAGAGAACCUGACUUGGAAUUCGGAAGCUUUUCUGUCAUUUUUGGCCAAAAGACCUCUGAUCCCAAAUCUGCGGCGAUCCUUAGGGUGGCAUUAGGUGGAACGCGAAAGAAAAGUAGCAGCGACGGGGUGAAGACGGAUCGACAGCGCUCAAAUAAGCUACUGUUUCAGCAACUCCAAUCGCAUUAUAAUCAGCAACAACAGCUUCAUGUGUAUACCCUGCUCACUCGGCAACAAGCUUUGGAGUUGAGAGAAGUGAGAGGAGGAGAUGAGAUGAGGUUGUAUUACUUGUGUGAAAAGUUGGGUGUGAAGUUGGUGGGUAGAAAAGGCUUGGGACCAGCAGCCGAUUCUGUUAUUGCUUCCAUUAAGGCAGAGAGAGGCAACCGAAGGGCGAGUUCUAAUUCCACAGAUCGAAUGGUUGAUACAAAGCCAUGAAUGUGUCUGUUAGCUUUGGUCAUGAAUGAAGCAUAAUCAUCAUCAGCUGGAGGGUGUCCUUUUACGGCACUCUGUAAAGUUUCAAGCUUCAUGGUAAAGUUAUUAGCUGCUUUACUUCUUUGGCUAUGAAUUACAGUUUUCUAGUCGCAUGUUUCACGUAGUACAGUGAGGGCUUAUGUUGACUUCACUUAUCAAAGAAUGCCUAAAAAAGGUCUUCGGCAUUUGGUUCGUAAUUUUGAUCGGUUUCUCAGUUGACGUGCAUACGUACAUUAGGUGCUUAAUAUAAGGCAUUAUUAGUGUUUCAGAGUACAGAUGCUGGUAUGCUUCGAGUACGCCAACCAAGCAGCAUUUUUCAGUAGGAAAAUGCCCCAAAACAUUCUGUUUUUGCUUGGAACUUGAUUGACAUUCUCACCCAAAGUCAAUUGUGCUUCGAGUACGCCAACCAAGCAGCAUUUUUCAGUAGGAAAAUGCCCCAAAACAUUCUGUUUUUGCUUGGAACUUGAUUGACAUUCUCACCCAAAGUCAAUUGUACACAUGCGCUAAUCUGUAAGGAAAUACUCAUUCUUUGGAUUGAUAUGCUACAAAUAGAUGCAUUUCAGCUUUUCGAAUAACUAGAAUGAUCUUAUGUUAGCUAAGUUUUGCUGCUAAUCAACACAUUAUUGCUGGGCAGGGUAGGAUGGUGCAUGUUGGCAACAAAGUCCUGAGAUCUAUCCAAGCAAGAUUGAUUUAUAUCAGAUCAUGGCAUAUAGUGCUAUCAUGUUAGCGAUAUGCCUCUCAUGGUUUUGCUUCAAAGGCAUCAUAUAAAGUUCAAUGUUGGUAGCGCGAUGGAGCUUACCGCGAAACUUUUUGUUAUUAUU
rnacentral:lncRNA from 1 species